UACGUAGGAGGCUAGCGUUGUCCGGAUUUACUGGGCGUAAAGGGCGUGUAGGCGGCUGGGUAAGUCCUGGGUGAAAUCUCCUGGCUUAACUGGGAGAGGUCCUGGGAUACUAUCCAGCUAGAGGGAAGCAGAGGAGAGUGGAAUUCCCGGUGUAGUGGUGAAAUGCGUAGAUAUCGGGAGGAACCCCCGUGGCGAAAGCGACUCUCUGGGCUUCCCCUGACGCUGAGGCGCGAAAGCGUGGGUAGCAAACCGG
rnacentral:rRNA from 1 species